rnacentral:rRNA from 1 species
AUUGAACGCUGGCGGCAUGCCUUACACAUGCAAGUCGAACGGUAACGGGCCUUCGGGUGCCGACGGGUGGCGAACGGGUGAGUAAUACAUCGGAACGUGCCCGAUCGUGGGGGAUAACGAGGCGAAAGCUUUGCCAAUACCGCAUACGAUCUACGGAUGAAAGCAGGGGACCGCAAGGCCUUGCGCGGACGGAGCGGCCGAUGGCAGAUUAGGUAGUUGGUGGGAUAAAAGCUUACCAAGCCGACGAUCUGUAGCUGGUCUGAGAGGAUGAUCAGCCACACUGGGACUGAGACACGGCCCAGACUCCUACGGGAGGCAGCAGUGGGGAAUUUUGGACAAUGGGCGCAAGCCUGAUCCAGCCAUGCCGCGUGCAGGAUGAAGGCCUUCGGGUUGUAAACUGCUUUUGUACGGAACGAAAAGCCUUCUUUUAAUACAGGAGGGUCAUGACGGUACCGUAAGAAUAAGCACCGGCUAACUACGUG